AGCUUGCUGGGUGGAUCAGUGGCGAACGGGUGAGUAACACGUGAGCAACCUGCCCCGGACUCUGGGAUAAGCGCUGGAAACGGCGUCUAAUACUGGAUACGAGCUGCAACCGCAUGGUUAGCAGUUGGAAAGAAUUUCGGUCUGGGAUGGGCUCGCGGCCUAUCAGCUUGUUGGUGAGGUAAUGGCUCACCAAGGCGUCGACGGGUAGCCGGCCUGAGAGGGUGACCGGCCACACUGGGACUGAGACACGGCCCAGACUCCUACGGGAGGCAGCAGUGGGGAAUAUUGCACAAUGGGCGGAAGCCUGAUGCAGCAACGCCGCGUGAGGGACGACGGCCUUCGGGUUGUAAACCUCUUUUAGCAAGGAAGAAGCGAAAGUGACGGUACUUGCAGAAAAAGCGCCGGCUAACUACGUGCCAGCAGCCGCGGUAAUACGUAGGGCGCAAGCGUUAUCCGGAAUUAUUGGGCGUAAAGAGCUCGUAGGCGGUUUGUCGCGUCUGCUGUGAAAUCCCGAGGCUCAACCUCGGGUCUGCAGUGGGUACGGGCAGACUAGAGUGCGGUAGGGGAGAUUGGAAUUCCUGGUGUAGCGGUGGAAUGCGCAGAUAUCAGGAGGAACACCGAUGGCGAAGGCAGAUCUCUGGGCCGUAACUGACGCUGAGGAGCGAAAGGGUGGGGAGCAAACAGGCUUAGAUACCCUGGUAGUCCACCCCGUAAACGUUGGGAACUAGUUGUGGGGUCCAUUCCACGGAUUCCGUGACGCAGCUAACGCAUUAAGUUCCCCGCCUGGGGAGUACGGCCGCAAGGCUAAAACUCAAAGGAAUUGACGGGGACCCGCACAAGCGGCGGAGCAUGCGGAUUAAUUCGAUGCAACGCGAAGAACCUUACCAAGGCUUGACAUACACGAGAACGCUGCAGAAAUGUAGAACUCUUUGGACACUCGUGAACAGGUGGUGCAUGGUUGUCGUCAGCUCGUGUCGUGAGAUGUUGGGUUAAGUCCCGCAACGAGCGCAACCCUCGUUCUAUGUUGCCAGCACGUAAUGGUGGGAACUCAUGGGAUACUGCCGGGGUCAACUCGGAGGAAGGUGGGGAUGACGUCAAAUCAUCAUGGCCCCUUAUGGCUUGGGCUUCACGCAUGCUACAAUGGGCCGG
rnacentral:rRNA from 1 species